GACGAACGCUGGCGGCGUGCCUAAUACAUGCAAGUCGAGCGAACAGAUGAGGAGCUUGCUCCUCUGACGUUAGCGGCGGACGGGUGAGUAACACGUGGAUAACCUACCUAUAAGACUGGGAUAACUUCGGGAAACCGGAGCUAAUACCGGAUAAUAUAUUGAACCGCAUGGUUCAAUAGUGAAAGAUGGAUUUGCUGCAACUUAUAGAUGGAUUCGCGCCGCAUUAGCUAGUUGGUAAGGUAACGGCUUACCAAGGCAACGAUCCGUAGCCGACCUGAGAGGGUGAUCGGCCACACUAGAACUGAGACACGGUCCAGACUCCUACGGGAGGCAGCAGUAGGGAAUCUUCCGCAAUGGGCGAAAGCCUAACGGAGCAACGCCGGUUGAGUGAUGAGGGUCUUCGGAUCGUAAAACUCUGUUAUUAGGGAGGAACAGAUGUGUAAGUAACUAUGCACGUCUUGACGGUACCUAAUCAGAAAGCCACGGCUAACUACGUG
rnacentral:rRNA from 1 species